rnacentral:rRNA from 1 species
UACGUAGGGCGCAAGCGUUAUCCGGAAUUAUUGGGCGUAAAGAGCUCGUAGGCGGUUUGUCGCGUCUGCCGUGAAAGUCCGGGGCUCAACCCCGGAUCUGCGGUGGGUACGGGCAGACUAGAGUGAUGUAGGGGAGACUGGAAUUCCUGGUGUAGCGGUGAAAUGCGCAGAUAUCAGGAGGAACACCGAUGGCGAAGGCAGGUCACUGGGCCGCAACUGACGCUGAGGAGCGAAAGCAUGGGGAGCGAACAGG